UGUUUGUCUACCUUCCUAAAUCUGAAAAAAGGGCUACUGGGCAGAAGGGCUGGGAGCUGAUGUACAUUUUCUUUCUCAGGAAGUUGGAGUGCACAUGGCUGGAACUGUUCAGAGCACUCUAUGUAAGCCAUAAAAAUUCAAGAGUCAGAAGCAAGCUGUUCUUCCUGAUGAGAUGUAUUUUGACUAACUACUUCUGCAGAGCAAUUCCUUCUUUAGAAGAAACUGCUCUGUGCCCUCCACUUUCUUGUAAGUAAUAUUUUUUCAGAAUUUUUAACUGGUGGGGACAGGUCAUAUGUAUUAAAUAAGCAUCAAGAAAAGUCAAUA
rnacentral:lncRNA from 1 species